rnacentral:rRNA from 1 species
AUGGGGGUAAAUUAAUAUAAUAAAAUAAAUAAUAAAAAUAAUUAUAAAAAAUAAUUAAUGGGGGUUAAAGUAUUUUUUAGAAAAAAAUUUAUUAAUUUAUAGUUUAAUAGUAUUGUGAAAGAAUUUUGAAAUAAAGUUAAAAAUUAAUUAUUAUAUAAGUAAAUUUAGUUUAUUGUAUCUUGUGUAUCAGAGUUUAUUAAAAAGUAUUUUUAAAUGAAAAUAUCUCGAAUUUAAAAGAGAUAAUUAAUUAUUAAAGUUAAUGUGACAUAAUUAUUUUAAAUAAUUAAUUUGAAAUGAAAUGUUAAUCGUUUUUAAAAAUAUCUAGUUUUUUUAGAAAAAAAUUUAAUUUUAAAUUAAUUUAAUAAUUUUUUUUAAAUUUAUUAUAUAAAAUUAUAUAUUUAAUUAAAUAUUUUAGGGGAUAAGCUUUAAAUUAAAUUUUUAUAAUAAUUAAUAAAUUAUUUAAAUAUUUUAAAAUUUAUAUUUUUUAUAAAUUAUAAUUUUUUAUAAAUAAUUUUAUUUAUUUUAAAAUUUAAAUUUAUAUUUAAAUUUAUAUAAAAAAAUAAUUUUUAAUAAUAAAAAAUUAGUUAUAAUGAUAAAAUUAGUAUAUAAAAAAAAAAAUGAAAUAUAAUUAAUUAAAAUUAAUAAAAAGGAAUUCGGCAAAAAUUUAUAUUCACUUGUUUAUCAAAAACAUGUCUUUUUGAUAAUAAUAUAAAGUCUAAUCUGCCCACUGAAAUUAUUUAAAGGGCUGCAGUAUAUUGACUGUACAAAGGUAGCAUAAUAAAUAGUCUUUUAAUUGAAGACUUGUAUGAAUGAUUUGAUGAGAUAUAAUCUGUCUCUUUGUUAAAAAUUAGAAUUUAAUUUUUUAGUUAAAAAGCUAAAAUAAUUAUAAAAGACGAGAAGACCCUAUAGAGUUUUAUAAUUUUAUAAUUUUAAUUUUUUUAUUAAUUUUAAAUAUUAAAAUUAUAAAAUUAUUUUGUUGGGGUGAUAAAAAAAUUUAUUAAACUUUUUUUUAAAAAUUACAUUAAUUUAUGAAUAAUUGAUCCAUAAUUUAUGAUUAUAAGAAUAAAUUACCUUAGGGAUAACAGCGUAAUUUUUUUUUUUAGUUCUUAUAAAAAGAAAAGUUUGCGACCUCGAUGUUGGAUUAAGAUAAAAUUUAAAUGCAAAAGUUUAAAAUUUUUGAUCUGUUCGAUCAUUAAAAUCUUACAUGAUCUGAGUUCAAACCGGUGUGAGCCAGGUUGGUUUCUAUCUUUAUAAAAAUAAAAUAGUUUAGUACGAAAGGAUCAAUUAUUUUAAAUAAUUUAAUUAAAAGAAUAUUUAUAAUUUAAUU